CUGCUGCUGCUUCUCUAAGCCCCACCCACACACAGAACGAGGCGCGACGAUAGGAUAAGACAGGCAAGCACGGAGAUAGUCCCUCUUCAGCCAAUCAAAGGAACUGAACGGACUGAACGGGUCAUUUAGGGGGGGAGAACUAGUUCAUUUCGUUCACCAAAAAGAACUAGUUCUUUUGAUCCGUUCAUUCAAGACUGACACACCACUAAUAGGUGGUGACCGGGUUGUGAGGGGUCUCUGAGGAUGUUGUGGGCUGUACAGCUCAUUCAGGGAGGGGAGAGGGCAGCUGAUGAUGUUCUGGGCUGGGAUGACGACCUUCUGCUUUAUUGUAUUUAUAUAAAUAUGCUAGUAUCAUGGCAAAGGUGUGAUCCCUAUGAAAAUACAUAAUCUGACUCUAAAGGCAACAUUUCCCUCUCUCUCCUUUUUACCUGCUCCUCUCUGAUAGCGAUGGAGCUCUUUUGUUUAUGGAACCAGGAGUGCUGAACUACGCCACAAGGUAUGUUAGAGUGCCACUAUUGUUUGACAGUUAAAAUGCAGCAUGAUAGACUCUGGGCUCUAUUUUCGUGUACGCCGGUGAGGCAGCGGAGGGUGGCGGACCCCGUGCAGUUGUAUUUUCGUUUGGCACAGCCCGGCGUACAGCCAGUUUGGUAUUUUCGUGGACUGAGGCACACGGAGGCGAACCGAGAUCCGCCAAGCUGGGCGUGGUGGCGUGGCAGGGGGAGGUGUCGACAGAAUCAGCAGGCGCAGUGACAUUUUCGUGCUCGCCAGUGCCAUGUAAAGUGCGCUGAAAGCUCGCCGAUUCAAACCUGGUCAGCUUUCAGCGCAGGCGGAGUGCAGCUGGUCUAGAGGUAUUUUGGUAGACCAGCGGCGUAUCGGCAUACAUCACCGAUGCCUCAUCGGCAGGUUUCCACAGUGUCAGGCACAUUUCAGUGCAAUAAAUAUUCAUCAACAACUAUUAAUCUGAGUCAGCACAUACAUUUAGAUCUAUAUAGAUAUAUUCUGAUCUAUAUCUGAUCUGAUGAGCGCGUUUGGUACGGGUUUGGACAAACAACCUGACCGAAUCAACACAGCUGAAACUGCGUUAAAUUAAAUUAAAUAUCUAGUGAAUAGACACACAUGAUGAAGUUAACUACACAUGUAAUUCGUCUCCCUCCUUUUCUUUCUUCCUCUUAUUUCUCGCGCAGCUCGACCUGGACAUGUCUCCGUGUCCUCUCUCCGUCCUGCUGCAGCUGCGGCUGAACAGGGGCCUCAUGUAUCAACACUUGCGUCGGACUCAUACGAGAAACAAGCGCACGCAAGGUCCGUCACGCUGAAAAAAAUCUGUAUGUAUCAAGGUGUGCGGGCGCCGAAAGCCACGUGUGUUUCCUUGAUAAAUCCCAAUCAGCGUGGAAUUGAGCGCAGAAGUCGGAGUGACCGGGCCCGCCCCCGUUACGCCCUCCUAUAAAUAUGCAGAUUUAUUUAGAUAGGGUCUCCCUGUCCUCGCACGCAGACAAAAUGACAAGAAAAACUAAAUCUACGGCGUGCGAGGUGGAGGUGCUGGUGGCGGAGGUGGAGGAGCGACAGCGUGUUUUGUUUGGCAGCCUGUCCAGUGGCGUCAGUGCAAAACGAAAACGCUUGGAGUGGGAGAAAGUUUGCGAGAGGGUGAACGCGGUGGGUUCCGAGACACGCACCCCCGCGGUGAUUAAAAAAAAGUGGUUGGACCUCAAGGUGGAGGUCAAGCGGCGUACAGCUGCCCUCCGGAGGAGUACCGGCCAGACAGAUGGGGUUCCGCGGGAGGAGACCCUCACGCCGUUUGAGCAGCGGGUGGUGGCGAUUAUUAUUAUAGGGUAAGUGGCGUGUCACACAAAUGUCCACAUGCUUUGCCAUCCCACUGAGCAAAGGACGUAUAUUAGACGUCUAGUCUAAGUUUAUAUUCAUUUCAACAUCGGGAUUCAGUCUAUUUUUAGACGUGAUUUAUACUUCGCCCUUAACUUCAUUUUUCGAUAACUUUUUAUGCAAUAAACAACUGUAAUGUGCAUAACUGACCUCUAAAUACUGGAUUACAUUACCUAUGAUACCGUGGAGAGAGAUGUAAACGCUACAGAUACACAAGAGCAGGAAUUGAAAUGAACCAAUAUUUUUAUUGUGUCACAGAAAUCAAUGUGUCGGCCGUGUCGCCGGCUUGCGGAACCCCGGCCCGCGGCAGCCCAUCAGCCGGCUCGGAGUCGUCGGCCAGGACCAGCGGCAUUCGGGCCACCCCGGUCCCCAGCCCCAGCACCAGCAUCAGCAUCAGCAUCAGCACCAGCACGCCGACAAGCGGUGGAGCGUCCACCAGCCGCGGCGCUUCCGCUGGACCACCCGGACGCAGUGGAAGGGUCCUCACGGAGGCGGUCCUGCAAUCGCAGGAAGAAAUCAUCAGGGGGAUCGCGGGAUCAACGAGCGGCUGGACCGGCUCGUAAAUGUCCUCGAGCGUCUGGUGGCGAAAAUAAAUUAAUUUGGCUCAUUGAACUGUGUAUUCACUUCUUACCCAUUCACACUGUGGCGAUGAGAUUCUCCCGCACGAGGACGGCGGCCCGGCAGGGAUCAGCUCGCAUCCCUCCGUCUGCUGCUGGUUCGUCAUGUGGGGCGACGUGCUGCUUGGCCACGGGGAUGUGGUGCACGCUUUUCACAUAGUGAGUCACCAAACACCGCCACACAGCGUCGCCAAAGUGCCGUUAACACAAGCUCAACGCCAACUUCUACACCACCUCCUCACUUUGCGUUGAUUAGCGCUGGAACCGACACUCGUGUCGCGAUGAUAUAUCUGGACGUGUGCGCCGAUCUUGGCGGACGCAAGGUUUUCUGGCGCCGCCAGCGUUGAUACAUGAGGCCCCAGAUGAUUUGUUUCAGCGCUCAGAUGAGUUAUCUACUUUAAGCCGACAUACGGAUAUUAUAAUAUUCAGUUUUGUCAAAUUUAUUUUAUACGCCAACAUCUGUGAAAGAAAGAGACAGGCCACGGAGCGCGAUGCGUCAUUUACGCACAGAUGGUUCCGAUUUUAAUGCCAUUUUUGGAGUUUAUGUUGUGAUCUGUGCGCUCAACCCACCUUUGUCACGUGAGGUUUGAAUAUAUGCAACUUUAUGUGAGUGUCUUUAUCUGUGGAAAAGGGUGCUUGUCUUACUAGUGGGUCCAAACUUACACACACCAAAUCCCUCUGUGCUCAUAUGAGAGAGUGUGGAGGACGCCCAAUGCAGCGCUUACAGUGACACUUGUUGAGAAGCUGUCUUCUGUCGCCAUCGUGUGGCAUUACUGUCUUCAGACAUCUCUUGAUCUCUUUGAUACUUCACGAAAAUAGUAAUACGCCUCGCCUGUGGCGGAUUUAAAGGCGAGGAGAGGAGCUGAUGUUAUUGGUAAAUACAGGUCUCAGCUGUGUUAAACCCACUCCACGCCCUCUCUCCUCCCUCGCAACGACUUACGCCGCUGGGAGGAGCUGAGUUAGGGAGGGGGGAUACUUAUGCCGGGCUGCGCCGCUCACCAAAAUACCAAAUUGUGCUUGGGAAUGCCUUGUCGGCGUGGCGUACCUGACUUACGCCGCGCCGACAAGGCACGUCUCCAGCGAGGCACGAAAAUAGAGCCCUCUGUCUUCAAUGGAGGGGAAAAGGUUAAAACGACAUUUUAGUGUCAGUGAGAGGCUCUCAUUGUGGGCCCUUCCAGUGCAAAAUAUGUUGUCAGUGGACACAGGCCCUAAUCGUAAUAAAGGUUACCUGGUUUGAUCAGCACUGGGUUGCACCAGCUGUGUGUAAAUGCAAACUUGGCCAAGUUUGAAUGUAAUUACUGACUUUAUUUUAGGGUUGCACCAGCUGAGAUCGCUCCAACAUAAACAGAAGCUGGCUCUGAGUCAAGUCGUCCAUAAAUACAAGCUGUUAUGGAGCGUCAUUUUAAAAGAUGAGAUAACGUUGAAGAGGAUGAGGAGUAGAUGGUUGGACUUGCUGUUUUGUGCAUGUAUUAUGUUUUCUGCGAUAGAUUACAGUAAUUUAAAAUCUAUGAACAUAGAUCUGCACUCCUGCUUCAUUUCCCACGAGCAGGGAUCUGUAUUAAGUACAGCUACGUUGAAUAAAUAUAUUACAGCUGGUUGAACAGGCACAGGACUCUCAAAAGAAACAGAUGAGUCCCCAGCUUUGAGUAAGACCUGUCCAUGAAAGGCCAUCAAAUAACCCUGAUUAUGACAUAAAUAGUUUAAAUAGAAAUAAAGGCAGGAAAUUACGCGGUGAAAUUUGGUGAGCCCUCUUUCUCUUUGCAUUUUAGAGUUUGGAUUAACUUGAUUGCAUUUGCUAGCCAUAGACCCUGUUUUAAUCUGCUUUGAAAAUAAAUCAAGAAGUCAGGCCUCCUUCUGUAACUGGGCCAUGUGACAACCAACCCUCCAACGUAAAGAUAAAUAUCUGUUACUAAUGGGAGAUUUCAAGUGCAUAAACAUGGAGAAGGAUAAACUGAGAUUUGUAAUGAGAUGAAACACAUCCUGUAAUCAUUUUUAUUAAGCAGCAGGGAGCUAAUUUACAUGAUGAGGAGAUUGAUUAGCACAUGGGGUAAUAAGGCUUCUUUUAUCAGUAUGUAAAACAUGUUCAUUCAGUUUAACACCAUCAUGAGUAACAGCCUUUUUUUGCUCUUUGAUUUUAGGUUAAUGUCACAUUUAUAACGUGAUCUGUUUGGCAGUGACAGGCUGCUGCAUGAAACAAACCGAUGCAUUUUAAUUUCAAAGAAACUGCUGAUCACUUGACUGAACCUGUUACACUGGAUAAUCUUGCAGCGUGUGGAUAGGAGGUCCCAGAGGUGCGACUCUCUGCUCAGAUUGAUUUUCAGCAGCAGAAAGACACCUCAGGUGAAGCGCAGCGGUCAGGUGAGUUUUAUAGGUCUGUCAGAUACUGUUAGUUUACACUCAGAUCACAGGUCCAGAAGGAAUCUGUUCCAUUAUGGUCCACUUUUAAUGCUGCAGGAAACAAAGACCGUCUGUAUUCACUGUAUGCAAAGUAAAGAACAAAAGCAAGAGUCCAUCCUGCAGAAAGAUUCCCCAUGAGCUGGACUGAAAGACAACCAGACUGUAGAUCACAGUAACAGACCAGGGAGGUGCAUAUACUCUUAUAUCACGUGUAGAGAAAAACACAACAGAGCCCCAAAUGAAUGAGCAAGAAUACACCCAGAGUAAAUAAGCACAUCAGGGGCCUCAUGUAUCAACGCUUGCGGCGCAAGAAAACCUUGCGUACGCCAAAAUCGGCGCACACGUCCAGAUUUAUCAUCGCGAAACGAGCGUCGGUUCCAGCGCUAAUCAACGCAAAGUCAGGAGGUGGUGUAGAAAUUGGCGUUGAGCCGAUACUUGCGUUGACUGUGAUUCGCACUUUGGCGACGCUGUGUGGUGGUGUUUGGUGACUCACUAUGUGACAAGCAUGCACCACAUCCCCGUGGCCGAGCAGCACGUUGCCCCACAUGACGAACCAGCAGCAGACAGAGGGAGGCGAGCUGAUCCCUGCCGGGCCGCCGUCCUCGCGCGGGAGAAUCUCAUCGCCACAGUGUGAAUGGGUAAGAAGUGAAUACACAGUUCAAUGAGCCAAAUUAAUUUAUUUUCUCCACCAGACGCUCGAGGACAUUUACGAGCCAGUCCAGCCGCUCGUUGAUCCCGCGAUCCCCCUGAUGAUUUCUUCCUGCGAUUGCAGGACCGCCUCCGUGAGGACCCUUCCACUGCGUCCGGGUGGUCCAGCGGAAGCGCCGCGGCUGGUGGACGCUCCACCGCUAAGCGUUUUCGUUUUGCACUGAAGCCACUGGACAGGCUGCCAAACAAAACACGCUGUCGCUCCUCCACCUCCGCCACCAGCACCUCCACCUCGCACGCCGUAAAUUUAGUUUUCUUGUCAUUUUGUCUGCGUGCGAGGACAGGGAGACCCUAUUUAAAUAAAUCUGCAUAUUUAUAGGAGGGCGUAACGGGGACGGGCCCAGUCACUCUGACAUCUGUGCUCAAUUCCACGCUGAUUGGGAUUUAUCAAGGGAACACACGUGGAUUUCGGCGCCCGCACACAUUAAUACAUACGGAUUUUUUUCAGCGUGACGGACCUUGUGUGCGCUCGUUUCUGGUAUGAGUUCCACGCAAGUGUUGAUACAUGAGGCCCCUGGUGAUUGGUUGUUUCCCGUUAGCCAUGAGCCCCGUUGUUUAGUUGGCUGUCUGGUUAGUUGUUUGAUGCAUCAGUUGAUAAUGAGUAUAGUUGCUGAAUUGGUUAGUAGUGGGCUUGUUGGUUGAUUAGUUAGUUAGCUAAAUGGGAUUUGAGAUUUAUUUGUUUAUUUUUCUUUAAAUGGGAUAAUAUGCAUUAUGCGCUUGGUUGAUCGGCUAUAUGUGUGCUUGUUUGGUUGGUCAGUUGGUUGGCUGAUCAGUUAGUCAUUUGGCUUUUAGUUUAAUUUUGGUUGGUUAGUUGGUUAACUUCAUGGUUGUUGCAUUGGUUAGUGGUUAGUGGUUUGGUUGCUGGUUGAUUGGUUGGCUGGUCAGUUGGUUUUUAAGCUUGUUGGCUCAUAGUUGACCGGUUGGCUGGUCGGUCGUUUGGUUGUUCAGUUAGUUGAUUGGUAGAUCUGUUACUUAGUAGUAGGAAACUGUAUAUUUUAGUUUUAUUAUGGAGGUCUACGCUGCCACCACCUUUGUUUAUCCGGUCUGGUCCAGUGUCAGAGGCAAGAGAAAUCUACACCGAGACUUCAUUAAAAGGUAUAACAAUACAGACUUUAUUGAGAUCACAAAUUCAUUAAGAAUAUGGCCAAGAGACUCUGUAUCUGUCUCCACUGAGCAUCAGUGUUCCUGCAAUAGGGCCAGCCCAUGCCCAAACACUGCAAAAGAAAAAAACCCACACGGGACACACCACACGCUAAGCAAAUGAUGCCCAGCACAAUAAUAAAAGUUUGUGAACUACAUGCAUCUCAUACACUAAAGACCACUACGCACCAUGCAGAAAUCAACGCGUAGGUGGGGAGAUUUAACACACAUGUACAGCGAGGCAUGCAGACACCUCUGUGGAUCCAGCACAGGGACUUACAAACCAGCCACUCUGUACCUACAGGAGACGACAGGCCUCUCCUCCUAACACAGGAACUGUUCUCCUUUCCAACUAUCGUCACUGUCAAUAACUAAAAAGUCAUGGACAGCACACUCUGUCAUUAUUUACAUCUCUGUCCCCUGGCCAUGGCCACAGACAACAGCAGUCCAGUGUUUCUCUCAUGUGCCUGCCCACCCAGUCUCCCUUUUAACAGCUACGCUGUGUUUCUCCCAUUCUCACACAGGUGAGUGUCAUCAGGUCAUUAGUUUAAAAUAAUAACAGGUCCUCUCUCUCUAUCUCAGUGUUCACAAUGAGACAGUGGCUCCAAACAGCCUCACCACAGUAUGCCAGUUAGUUUUUUGGCUAUUUGGCUGGUCAGUUAUCUGGUUAGUUAUCUGGUCAUUCGGUCAGUUUGUUGAUAGUUUGGUAAGGUUAGUUGAUUUUUUUUUAUGGUUUGUAGUCCAGUUGGUUGCUGUAUCAUUGGUUGGCUAAAUGAUUGGUUAAUUCGUCAUUGUUUGAGUGGGUGGCUGGUUGGGUGGUUGGCUGACUGGUUGUUGGUUGGGUGGUCAGUUGGCUAAGUGGAUGGCCACCAGAUCAAUUUGUGAGCACCAAGGUAGGUUGAUUGAUUUGAUAUCUGUUGGUAGCCCAGUUGGUUGGUUAGUUUUGAUUGGUUAGCUAUGUAAUUGAUUGAUUUGUCAGUUGGUUGGGUGAUUGGUAAGUUCAUUGGCUCUAAAGAUGGUAGGUUUGUUGUUUGGUUGGUGAGUUCUUUGAGAUUCCUUUUUUUCUGGAGUAGGGAACAUACUAACAAAAAGAAAUCCUAACCAGCACAAACUCAUGGACCUGCAGUGUCAUGUUCUUCAUUUGUGGUGUACAAACCGCCCUUUAACCCUAAAAAUGCUAUUUACAAUGUUUUUAAAACAUGUACCUUGGUUUAAAUGCACCUUUCCUCAUAACCCAGAAUUCCUGGUGCCACAUACUGUCAGUUCAUGUCCACUCAUAUGUAAAAUAUGACCUUUGAAAUCGAAGCACAAACACUGGCUUGGUAGAGAAAUGGUGAAGCUCAUAAAAGUAUUAAUUCUUGUAAUUUAACAUUGUUAUGAAAAAUAGCAGUGAUCCUGUUUUUCUCUUUUAGCUUUUACAUUUUGCUCAGGCUUUUUAAGCUUGCUUUUCUACCAAGUUUUGCAUAAUUAGUUUCAACACCUCUGACUGACUGUCUUCUCUCCCAAAGAUCCUGGCACGCAUGCGUUAUCAAUAAGGAGAUAUCAUUCCCUAUAAUAACUUAUUACUAAAGCUAUGAUAGAGAAGUCCCCCCUUAUCUUUCAGCUUUGAUUUCCUUACAUGCAGAUAACCAUCAAGCAUGCUCCCAGCUGUCUCUGCAGAUUCACACAGAGCGAUUAAGAUCAGCUUUGUGCUUUAUGUCCCACAUCUGCUCAAAGAAAAAAAAAAAAACCUGAACACAUCAACACCGCAGAGACUAUUUCAAGUUAGAGUCACUCAUCUUAUCCCACCUUUUGUGAUGUGUGCUUCUGCUUUAUUGUUGUUUGUUCCUCAGAAGUACCUGACAUAAGGGUCCUCUUGUGUGUUGGGAUAGGAUUUAGGUACACAUGGAAUACUGAUGGUGGAGACCAUGAUUAGAUUGUUAUGUGUCACUAUAAAUGCUCUUGAUGCCUGCAAGCAAUUUGCACAAGUCUGAAUGUUACCUCCGGGCUUUAGCCCCAUAUAACUGGAUUAACGCUGUCUGUUUAUGGUUCAGCCCUGUGAAAGGUUGUGUGUCUGCAGGAACAUUCAAAUGUGAGACAUGCGUCUGAUAUCAAGAACAUAGGGAGCCAUCAGCUCCCUCUUUCUCCUCACCCAUCCUUCCUCCCCCUUAUGUCUCAGUGAAGGUGGAUGAUUAGGUUUCCCUUUGGAUGGGAGUUUGUCCAUCUCCUUAGUGGAGUGUGGGCACUGUCACCAUGGCAACUGCUAGGCUUAGUGAUUGGGUAAGCCCCUGCCACCAUACACACCCGGGGGUUUGUGGAAUCCCUUUGUUGCUUCUUUGCAACAUCUAGCAUCUGAACCUCGCUUAGCACCACCACCGCAACAUGAGUCUCUUCAUCAAACUGAAAUAUCAUCCAAACCUUUUUUUGUUGUUGUUAUAGACAGAGUGAGGUGCAUGUGAGCAGAAUCACUGAUGAUAUCGCUUCAGGCAGGUUCACCUCAGAGUCUUUUCCCAAACAAACCUAGGUCUGUUUCACAUGUUCACCCUCAUCCCUAAAAAAGAUUACUCAGAACCAACAGGGCAGCUGUAAGGGGUGGGGUGAAUAUUAUUUUAAGAGAGGAUGCUUGUUUUUUUUCCAGACAUGAUGCCCUUAUACCUGAAAAAAAAAUCAAAAUUUGAUUUUGUUCUAAACACAUAGUUAAUCUUUAAGUUGCUGGAUUGUAAACAAAAUCUGCUGGGGGGUGGGGGCACAUACACUGUCAAUUUCAUACUCACUUUUAAACCGGGAUGAUGACAGUUGUCCAGCUGGAUCAUCUCACUGAGGAGUGACUGUAGCUCAAUUUAACUGUUCAUGUAAAUAUGCUGGAUGAAUUUGCUGCAGGUUUGCUGAUCAUGCAUAUUGCUUCAUUUUUUAAGCUCAUUUUCCAUUUGCAUCAUGUGUCAGGGGGCAAGGUUGAGUUGGUGGUAUUUAGCCUGCAUCAACGACAAAGGUCCCAGUUAAUGGGAUGCCCUGCCAUGUGUUGGCCCUUCUUUUCUUAUGGCGUUGGCUUUAAGUUGCACUCAGGGUUUUGUGGUUGCUGGUGGAAUUUAUUGACAUUGAUAUUGUGACAUUGUGUGAUAUUGAUAAUGUAAUAAAGGCCUACAAACUUUAAGUUCCUCACAGAAGCUUUCAAAUUAGAAAGGUCUUGAUAUAAAUUUUAAAAAUCCAUUCCCAUGAUGUCACUCACAUGACUGUGUAGGAGGUUAUUUUUCCGGUGUCUUAGGUGGGUGCUCCUGUGGACUGGCCUGUUUGGUGAUGGGUGGUGGUGCUUUAAUCUGAGGAGCCCAGCAAAUAUUCCCUCCCCCUGCGUCACUGCAGCCGUGAUUCAUCCUUACCUCUGCUAUGAGUCAUUACAGUGUGCAAGCUCUGACCUGACGCUCAGCACACUAGUAUGCUAUUCAUGGUCACUGCGGCUGUCUCGUCUGCUUCCAUGGAAACUGAGCUGCUGUUAUGAGGAGCGGAGAUUGAACGUGACAAGAAGUAAUCUAGCACAUUAGACAGAACACACCAGGUUCACAGCAGGACACAACCUGUGUUUUUAAGACGUGAUGAAGAUGAAGGUCCCAGCAAUAGACCCUUUCUAUAUAUUCAUGUUGGUGUGUGAAUGAGCAUCUCUGCCAACUCCCCAAGUGUGGAAACAUCUUUGUCAGUGAAGGAGGUGAUCUGGUGUGAAACAUUUGAGGUUUAGGAAAUAUUCCUGCUGCAACUACUAUCCAUGUGCUGUCAGAGCAGAACUCCAACAUCAUGAUGUGGCUGCCAUGAUGAUCUUGCUGGUGGAGCUCAUUGUCUCCUGGGUGGAGAGGUUGUCAGCAGCCCCUAAAUCUAGUUUCACUACACCAAAGCUACCACCCAUAAAGAUGUAGCAAGCUAAGCUACAGCAACAGGGCAGAAGAAGUUCAGCUUCAUCUACAUCUUUAAUGGUAGACAGGAUGAUUCAUCAUCAUUAUGAUAUGAUACAGUGAGAUAAGAUGCACUUAAUUGUCCUCCUGGGGAAAGUUGUCUCGGACUGAAAUGCUGC